ACAUGUAGUUUUAAUUAUAAAUAUUUAUCAUAGAAAGAACGAAAUAUCGUAUAACAGUAUUAUGGCGUUGCAAGAAAAUCAUGGCGCCUUGUUUAUGAAGACUGUUCUCCCAUGAAAACUGUUUUAAUGUUAUGUUUACGUACAGCAAUAAUACGCACCCAUUGCACUACGUAACGAGAAUGUAUUCAACGAUAAGGGCUGAUCGUAGAUGACUCACAUCAAAAAGAUGAUGCAUUAGAGAAUAAAAAACUUUAUUAUAAUGAACAAAUAACUGUUUAUUUUUUUAAAAAAAUAUUUUUUUAUAACAUUAACAAAAUAUAAUAUCUAAUAAAGUUAUUUUAUUAAUUUUAAGUUUUAUUAAAUCGAUUAAAGUAAAAAAUAAAAAGCUGUGAUUGAUACAAGUUGUACAUAGUAAAGGAGGGAGAUUUGAUUGUUUUAAUUAUCGAUUGUAAUUAUAAAUAUAAAAAUUCUUAUAUUUAAAUAUUAUAAAAUUAAUAUAUAGAAUAAUACAAAUUUUUUUACAUAUUUUUAUUAAUAAACAUAUUGUUUUGCUAAUGCUCUUAAAAAUUUUGCUUUCCGAAUAUUUGCUGCUUCCCUUUGUAUUUCUUCAUUAUUAUUAGAAUUCAAUUCCAAUGAACCAAUCACUUUAAU